rnacentral:rRNA from 1 species
GAUGAACGCUGGCGGCGUGCCUAAUACAUGCAAGUCGAGCGAAUGGAUUGAGAGCUUGCUCUUAUGAAGUUAGCGGCGGACGGGUGAGUAACACGUGGGUAACCUGCCCAUAAGACUGGGAUAACUCCGGGAAACCGGGGCUAAUACCGGAUACGACCCUCGGAGGCAUCUCCUGGGGGUGGAAAGAAUUUCGGUCAAGGAUGGACUCGCGGCCUAUCAGCCAGUUGGUGAGGUAAAGGCUCACCAAGGCGACGACGGGUAGCCGGCCUGAGAGGGUGACCGGCCACACUGGGACUGAGACACGGCCCAGACUCCUACGGGAGGCAGCAGGGGGGAAUAUUGCGCAAUGGGCGCAAGCCUGAUGCAGCAACGCCGCGUGAGGGAUGACGGCCUUCGGGUUGUAAACCUCUUUUAGCAGGGAAGAAGCGAAAGUGACGGUACCUGCAGAAAAAGCACCGGCUAACUACGUGCCAGCAGCCGCCGUAA